GGGUCAUAGCUCAGUGGUAGAGAGCAUUUGACUGCAAAUCAAGAGGUCACCGGUUUGAACCCGGUUAGGCCCU